AUGGGUAUACCUCAGUGGUAGAUAAUUCGACUACAGAUCGAGAGGUCCGUGGUUCAACUCCGCAUGCCCACU
rnacentral:tRNA from 1 species